GCAGUCGUGGCCGAGUGGUUAAGGCAAUGGACUAGAAAUCCAUUGGGGUCUCCCCGCGCAGGUUUGAAUUUUGUCGACUGUG
rfam:Ixodes scapularis strain Wikel colony gcontig_1108378546804, whole genome shotgun sequence.